rnacentral:rRNA from 1 species
GAUGAACGCUGGCGGCGUGCCUAAUACAUGCAAGUCGAGCGAACGGACGAGAAGCUUGCUUCUCUGAUGUUAGCGGCGGACGGGUGAGUAACACGUGGAUAACCUACCUAUAAGACUGGGAUAACUUCGGGAAACCGGAGCUAAUACCGGAUAAUAUUUUGAACCGCAUGGUUCAAAAGUAAAAGACGGUCUUGCUGUCACUUAUAGAUGGAUCCGCGCUGCAUUAGCUAGUUGGUAAGGUAACGGCUUACCAAGGCAACGAUGCAUAGCCGACCUGAGAGGGUGAGCGGCCACACUGGAACUGAGACACGGUCCAGACUCCUACGGGAGGCAGCAGUAGGGAAUCUUCCGCAAAGGGCGAAAGCCUGACGGAGCAACGCCGCGUGAGUGAUGAAGGUCUUCGGAUCGUAAAACUCUGUUAUUAGGGAAGAACAUAUGUGUAAGUAACUGUGCACAUCUUGACGGUACCUAAUCAGAAAGCCACGGCUAACUACGUG